rnacentral:rRNA from 1 species
GGGAUUGCCUCAGUAACGGCGAGUGAAGCGGCAACAGCUCAAAUUUGAAAUCUGGCCCUUUCGGGGUCCGAAUUGUAAUUUGUAGAGAGUGCUUCGGGCGAGGCCUCGGUCUAAGUCCAUUGGAACAUGGUGUCAUAGAGGGUGAGAAUCCCGUAUGCGACCGUGGCUCGAGCCCAUGUGAAGCCUCUUCGACGAGUCGAGUUGUUUGGGAAUGCAGCUCAAAAUGGGUGGUAAAUUUCAUCUAAAGCUAAAUAAUGGCUGGAGACCGAUAGCGCACAAGUAGAGUGAUCGAAAGAUGAAAAGCACUUUGGAAAGAGAGUCAAACAGUACGUGAAAUUGUUGAAAGGGAAGCGCUUGCAACCAGACCUGCCCGUAGGCGAUCAGCCGCUGUUCUCAGCGGUGUACUCGCUCUGCGAUCAGGCCAGCAUCGGUUUCGGCGGUCGGAUAAAGGCCUUGGGAAUGUAGCUUCCUUUCGGGGGAGUCUUAUAGCCCUCGGUGCAAUGCGGCCAGCCGGGACCGAGGACCGCGCUUCGGCUAGGAUGCUGGCGUAAUGGUUGUAAGCGACCCGUCUUGAAACACGGACCAAGGAGUCUAACAUCUAUGCGAGUGUUUGGGUGUCAAACCCAUGCGCGGAAUGAAAGUGAACGGAGGUGAGAACCCUUAAGGGCGCAUCAUCGACCGAUCCAGAUGUCUUCGGAUGGAUUUGAGUAUGAGCAUAGCUGUUGGGACCCGAAAGAUGGUGAACUAUGCCUGAAUAGGGUGAAGCCAGAGGAAACUCUGGUGGAGGCUCGCAGCGGUUCUGACGUGCAAAUCGAUCGUCAAAUUUGGGUAUAGGGGCGAAAGACUAAUCG